rnacentral:rRNA from 1 species
GACGAACGCUGGCGGCGCGCUUAACACAUGCAAGUCGAGCGAGAACCUGGGCUUCGGCCCUGGGGACAGCGGCGAACGGGUGAGUAUCACGUGGGUAAUCUGCCCUCGGCAUCGGGGUAGCCCGGGGAAACCCGGAUUAAUACCGAAUAGCCUCCGGAGCCUUCGGGCGCCGGAGAAAAGGUAGCUUCGGCCUCUGGCCGAGGAUGAGCCCGCGGCGGAUUAGCUCGUUGGCGGGGUAACGGCCCACCAAGGCGACGAUCCGUAGCUGGUCUGAGAGGACGAUCAGCCACACUGGGACUGAGACACGGCCCAGACUCCUACGGGAGGCAGCAGUGGGGAAUCUUGCGCUAAUGCGGGAAACCGUGACGCAGCGACGCCGCGUGGGGGAAGAAGGCCUUCGGGUUGUAAACCUCUUUCAGGAGGGACGAAGCUACUCGGGUUAAUAGCCCAGAGGGUGACGGUACCUCCAGAAGAAGCCCCGGCUAACUACGUGCCAGCAGCCGCCGCCG